CUCCGGACACACCUGAACAUCUGAAGGAACAAACUCCAGACACGCCAUCUUUAAGAACUGUAGCACUCACUGCAAGAGUCCAUGGCUUCGUUCUUGAAGUCAGCUAGAACAAGAACCCACCGGAAGGAACCAAUUGCAGACACAGUAGCAUCUAGCCUUUUUAAACAAUCGUCUCCCAAAUCCUCACCAUGGACAAAUAUUUAAGUAUAAUCUCAUUUUCUAAUAACCUAUCACCAAUGAUUUAUUAAUCAUCUAUUGCGAGGCCUAUACUGUGUCCGUCCUGGAUGAUGAAUGUAAAAUAUUCCACAUUAAACUAUGGAGGUGAUACUUAUAGGAAACCUAACAAAUAACAACAACAGCAACAAUAAUAAUAAAAAAAUACAUUAUGAGAAACUCAUGAAAACAAACCAAAAAAGCAAGACUGAGCUAAUCCUCAAAUAAUUUAUAGGGCUUUGAUUGGUACUGAAGAGUCCUAGUAAUAUUCCAGAUGGAAGAAAAAAAGCAUGAGGAAACAUAAUAAGAUUCAG